rnacentral:misc_RNA from 1 species
AUCUAACACCUCUUUUCUGUAUUGUCUACACAAAAACAGCUCAACCUAGUACAUCUAAACAGAUGGAGAGCGUGGCAACCAAAUUUCAUCAAGCUACGCAGGGGCAUUUGUAUCAUCGUCACUGUCAGUCUCAUAGAAAGGACCAUCAUCGUAAUCAUCGUUGUCUGACCCUUCAGUAUUCCCAGUGUUAUUUGAAGCUGCAUUAGGAUUUCUGUGGGAAUUCCAAUCAGGAGGGAAGGUCUUCUGAAGUGCUUCGGUUAAAUUACCUCCGGUCCUCUCAAUCUUCCGCAAGCAUCUUGACCAAUGAACUGCAGUUCCCAUAUCAACAGUCAAUCCAGACUCCACCAUCUCUUCACAAACAUGUUGGAUUCUCG